rnacentral:siRNA from 1 species
UGACCGAGAACCAGUUGAGAUGG